rnacentral:lncRNA from 1 species
UAUAAAAUCAAUUAAAAUUCGGGUUGGAUAUAGUCAAAAUUCAUACCGAAUCCAAAUACGUCGGAUUUUGCUUUGGAAAUCCAUAUUCGAAACUAUAUCUAUUUAGCAUCGGGUAUAUUUGUCCCAUUCGGAAUCGGGUUCAAAUAAAACUUCGGGUAUCUGUACCCAUUGACAUCUCUACUACCACAUCAGUAGAGGCAAUAAUACACAACAUGGUAUGGAAUACCAUUAAUAUGAUUUCCUUCCUGUGUAUUAUACUUACAAUUAUCACUGCAAUAUAACAUAUUUUUGGGACACUAUUAUGUAAGUGUCCCAUUUAUACCAAUUUUUUAAAAAAAUCUACUAAGGCCUAAUAUAAAGCCAAAUCCAAUAAAAACAAAACAUUUCUCUACUCAAUCAACCCCAUCCAUCUUACUUGGACCGAUUACAAAUAGAAAAGAAAAAAAAAGAAAAAGAAAAAUUGAUCACCAUUUCUCCUUCUCCUCCUUCGCCGUUGCCAAUGAGGGUUCCGACGGCUAGAGUUCGGCCGCGAGGAUCUCACAAAAACUAUAGAGGGCUAUGAUCGCCAUGUGUCCCUUCGCAACAGAUCGCUGGAGUGGGUGCCAAACAUCGAGGCAACCCCUCAUAUAAUGACUCAACAUAUAACAACACUUUUAAAAAGUGUCGAUACUUUAAUUAGAGCGCUUUUUUUUUACCUUUACCGAUAUUUAAAAGUGUCGCUAUAUACCGUUUUUGACUUUUACCGACAUUAUAUAUGAUUUAGUAUAUAUAAUAAAUCACCCUAUAAACUACUUUAAAUCUUCCAAGAUAUUAUCAUUGUAUAUAAUUUUUAUGUUGGAAAUCUGAUAUAUUUAUUCUCAAAAUAUAUGUAUUAACCAACCAAAUCUCUUUAUAUACAAGACAAAUGACAAAUCUACAACUACAACAAGAGACUGUCGUCCCACAGUUAAUCCCUUAACCAAAUAUGCGUAGGGUUUAUUCAACUCUUUUUUGAUUUUUGGUUUUAAAAAAUAAGAUUAGUGAAAAAAGAAAUUGCAUGCAUUUGGAUAAGGAUGUUAUAGGAUUGUAAUCCAUUUUGGAUUGUAAAUCUAGAAUGGCUACCAUAAUAUGAAGUUUUUGACAUAUCAAUAAUAUAUAAAAACACUAUUAUAGGAGACUUUUAAGGUUCGUUUAAUUGUUUAUUCUUAACUAAUUUUUAGACUGAAAAUUAUUUUCUGAUGAAUUAAAGUUCAGAUAAAAAUUAUUUCUGUCGCUGUUUGUUUGAUAGUAAAUUAAUUACUUUAAAAACUAUAUUCAACUUAUUGUGUUUGUUUCACUAUUAAUUUUUAUAUUAAUGCCUCAGAGUGUGAAAAAAAAUUAUAGUGGCUAACUUUUUUUUUUUUUUUUUUUUUUCCAAUUCCUUAUUCUAAAAGAAGGACUAAACUCUUGGGCCAUUUCGGUUUAAGCGAUAAAAGAAGAAUAAGAGAUUUAUUCUCCUUAUUCUUUCUAACGGUAUUAGGAAUAGUUAUUCUCCUGUAAAUGGAUUAUUUCGGCAUAAGUCGUUAAGAGAGGAGAAUAGUAGUUCCAUCUAUGAGGUGGAACCAGCUAUUCUUUAUAUUACUCCAUUACUAAUUAAAUUAUAAAUAAUUAUAAAAUAUUUUUAAUUAAUGCAAUUAUUUUUUAAUAAUUAACUAAUUAAUUAUUUGACUUAUUAAAUUAAUAAAUAUUUAAAUAGCAAUAAAUUUAUUAUUUAUAAUUAAUUAGUUAAUAAAAUAAUUAAUUAUUUGAUAUGGUUAUUCAGUCAUUAACUAAUAUUCAUAUUAUUUAAGUAAUUAAUAUUUUAAGUAACAGUAAUAUAUUGACUUAUCUUUUUAUAAUUAUUUACUAAUUAACGUCAUUUUUUGUCAUCUUAUAUAGCAUUCCUAAUGAAUUAGUUUAUUAACAUGUUAAAUAUUAUUUUACUAAUUACUAGACUCUUAUUAUUUAGAUAAUUUAUUCUUAUUUUUAAUCGUAAUCACUCUUAUUCCAACCAUUCCAACCCAAUCAAUUCUUUUUAUGUAGGAAUAAUUACCUAUAUAUUUAUUAUUUUGCUCCUUAAUUAAUUAAGGGUAAAUAAGAAAAGUUGUUGACGGUAGAAGGAUGUAUUUGAAAGGCACAAAAGUCAAAAUACUUUUUUUACCCCUAACUUAAGGGUAAUAAGAAAAGCUGGUAACGGUAGCUAGAGUAGUAUAUUUGAUAGGGUAAAAUAGUAAUUUCAUGAAAAUAACAUCGGUUCUUAAUAGUUCAGUAAUAGAAAUUAAGUUUACAAAUAUAUUUAAAAGAACUUAGCACGUUAAAAAAAUAUUUCUUAUAUUAGCCUUAGGGUUUAGGGUUUAGGAUUUAGGAAAAGGUAAAUUAAAAAGUUUAAAACAUUUUAUAAAUAUAUAAGUAGUUGUCUUUUCUUUUUUAUUCCUCACAAUAUCUUGCUUCUUUUCCAAGUAUAAAAUUUAAAUAAUUUCUCCUUAUUUUAAAAUUUUAUUUAUUUCAGAAGUCAAUAAAAAUAACUUAGGGGUUGUUUGAUUUAGCGUAAGGCGGAUUGAAAAAUUAUUUUCGAUAUGAAAAAUACUUUUUUGCUUAUUUAGUUCAGCGAAACUUUUUUUUUCUUAAUAGUAUUCUUACGGAUUUGCCAAAAAAUUAAUAUUUUUAUUUUUCAUUGUUUUUCGGCGGAAAAAAAAACUCAAGCUGAAUAAAAUUUUUUUCAUUUAUUUUUUUCCACCGAAAUAAAUAAAUAAAUAUAUUUUUCCUUUCAAUUAGAUGAAUAUUAAUAAAUUUUUUUUACAAACUAAAGACUACAAAGUGUAAAAAAUAAAUUUCACGGAAAUUUUUGUAUAAAAAGAUAUUUUUUUAUAAUUUUACAUAUAACCAAACACCAACUAUAAAAAAUUUUGCAUACGCUGUAAACAAUAACUAGCGAUACUUUGAAGCAUCAUUAUGAAUAACUUCGACACUUGUAAAAAUGUUGAAAUAAAGAGUUGUUAAGUAAAUAAAAAUAUACCGAGGCUAGUUUUAACAUAACGUCAAAAACUUUUAAUCAAUAUUAUAUAUAUAUAUAUAUAUAAUACGUAAUAUCGGUACAUACCAAUAUUAAAAAUAUUAAAAUAAAAUAGAGAAAACUUUAAAAACCCCCUGUGAUUUCGUACUUUUUUAUUUAAGUACCCUAUGAUUUAAAGUAUAUCAAGUUAGUACCCUGUGGUUUCGCACUUUCUCACUUUAACAUCUGUGAUUUAAAGUCUUUUAAGUUAGUACCAAGGUUUAAAGUGCCGUGGCACGGGGGCGUGCCGCUCUUUCCCUGGCACGGUACGGCACGGGCACGCUUCCGUGCCGACACGUAGUACGCAUGCGUGCCGAUGGAUACGCAUGACCUCCUACCGGCAUGCUUUGGCACGGACUUAUUUAAGUUUUUUUUGUUCCAAUAAAUUUUUAUAAUGUUAUUUUGAAAGAUUUAGACAAAUAAUUAUUAAUAUUUGCUCUGUAUAGCUUACUAUACUCAUCAAUUAAUAUGCAUGUAAUCAUUUUGUAUAUAAAGUACAACUAUACCUGAUGUAGAAUAGAAAUUAAAAUUCUUUUAUUUUUAUUUGAAAAGUACAACUAUUCUUUUGUUUCUAUAUAUUUGAUUCGAUUAGGAAGUAUAUAAUGACUAGAACAACCAGAAUAGUAUCACAAAUUAUAUAUUUUUUUCUUUAAAAAAAUAUAUUGAUCAAAAUUUGUUUAGAAAAAAGAUUUUUGUUUUCCUGAUUCACCGAAAGUUUCGCAGUGCGACAAAUUUUGAUAAUUUUUUUUGAAGAAAAAAUGGCCAAAAAAAUAACAGAAAAGUUUUUAAUUCAAUAAAAGAAAAGGCCAAAAAAAAAAGCCAAAAGCAAAAAAAAAAAGAGGUUGACAAAAAGACAUCACAUGUGAAGAAAAAUAACAAAAAGUGAAAAAAUGCAAUAUAGAUAGCCUGGGAGGAGGGUCUGUAUCCAAGAAAAAAAAAAAGCCAAAAAAAAAAACGGCGGCACCGGUACAUGCCGGGGCACGCUGGUGCGUGCUGCUUUGUCUCGAGCGGCACGCAACAGCAUUCCGCGAGACGCAGGGGAUGGGAGGUGCGAUGAUCCCCCCCCCCGCGCGACCAAGCCCCCUCUUGAGGGCACUGUACGGCACGGCCCGUGCCGUACGGCACGGAGCGACAUUAACCUUGGUUAGUACUCUGUGAUUUUAUUUUGUAUCAAGUUGUACCCUAUGGUUUAUUUUGUAUUAAGUUAUGUACUCUACGAUUUUUAAACACAAGGUACUAAGUGAGAAAGUGUGAAACCAUACGGAUACUAAAGUGAGAAAAUGCGAAAACCAUAUGGUACUAACUUGAUACAUUUAAACCACAGGGUACUAAAAAAAAAGUGCAAAAUCACAUAAUCUAACUUGAUAUUAUUAAAUACUUGCUAUUAAGAUAAGAAAAAGUAAAUCACAUGCGAGUGUUUGAAGUUUUCUAAUCAAGUAUUAUUCAAAACGUCAUUUAAAAAAUAUUUUUUGUAAUGGCCCGCAGUUUUGGAACUGAACAUAAAUAUUUAACAAUGCAAGAUGACUUACCUCUGAGUUCAUCAAGUAUAAUAAUAUUCGUACGGCCGGGUUUAUUUGUUUUUUUCCUGCUAUAUUAUGCGUCCCUUGGGCACAAAACACGAGGACAUCAUGUAUCGUCGUCGUUUCCGUUUCUUCAUGAUGAUGAUGUAGAUAAUAUAAUAAUAAUAUAAUCAUAUAAUAAAAAGCUCGAAAACCAUGCACUAUGAAAGAGUCAAAAAUUAAAAGGAGAAAAGAACCGUCUCAAAGCGAUUAGACCUUUUGCGCCUAUCGCAAAUGCUUGCUCUCACCAAUUUGCUUUUCUCUCUCUCUCUCUCUCUCUCUCUCUCUCCUUUUAGUUAGUGUCGUGUGGCUUUUGUGUUCUUCCUCUUCUUGUGUGGAUGAGGAUGUUAUUAUUAUAGAAAAAUUCUAAUUUCAUGAAUGCCCUUCAAAAUUUUAAAAUUUUAUAUUUGCCCUCUAAAAGUAUGAAAAAACUUCAAAAGUAUCCCUACUGCUAGCAAUAUGUUAUAUUAGCUUCAAAAUACCAAUUUUAACCUCUAUUUUAAUUUAAUCACCACUCUCACAAAUUUUUUUUUGAAUAUAUGGAGACCCCCUCAAUUACCAUCCAUUGUGAAAUAGCCUCCUAAAUUUAACUUUUUAAUUAAAGUCUUCUUAAAUUUUAUUUUCUUAAAUUGAAUGAUUUUUUUUAUUCAAUUAGAGAUUUUAUCUAAUCGAUUAAUGAUUCAAACAAAUUUAAUAAUUUUAAUAACUUCGUAGUAUAUAAAAUUAAAUAAGUUUCUGUUCAAAAAAGAAAUUAAUAAAAACUUCAAGGAUUUACUUAAAUGACAUAUAGUUGAUAGUUUUAGUAUAAAUAUCAAAAAAUAAGUGAAAACAGCUUGGUUUUUAAACAAAAAGUGAACAAAUUAAAGGUAAAAUGGUAAUUUUAUAUUUUGAAAUAAAAUAAAAAAAUGUUAUGUUAACGGAAGUUGGUAAAAAUAACGGUGAGAUGAAAAAAAUAUUAUAUUUAGAGGGAUAUUUGUAAAAUUUAAAAAAUUAAAAGAAUAUUUAUGAUAUUACAUAAUUUUGUGAGGGUAUAAAUAAAAUUAACCCUAUUAUUAUUAUUAUUAUUAUUAUUAUUAUUAUUAGUAUUAUUUUUCUAGAUGAGGAUUCCACAUAGGAGGCAUAAAUGGGGGAGGGGGCCGGGGUUGAUUGGAUUUAAUGCAACGGGAAACGAACCUGCGUUUGUUUGCGUGGCUGGAAAGAGAAGACCGACCGACCGACCGAUCCAUGCGUACGUCUCUGACUUCCCAAUCCAAAGAGAUUGAGUCCGCUGCCUGCUGGACUACUGAUUUGAUGCAUGACGCCCAUGAUUCGCAUUUUUGACAGUCUGAACUUCCGUUCCUUACUUAUCUUGUCUUCCAAGGGCAGCUGUGACAUCCGCAGAAGCGCCGAAAGCCGGACGAGACAUAUCUAACGUUAAUAGAUAAAAUAAAAUUAAAAUUAAAAAGUCGACACACACACACACACACACGUACAAAUCAAGUUACUGGGUAAGAACAAAUUUAAAAGAGAUGCGUGCAUAUAUAGAUGACGACUAUAUAAGUAUGUGCCAAAAUAAAGUCGGUUCGGGUGAUGGAUUUUCGGCAGAAGAACUCUAUCACGGCAUUGUCAAAUAAAAGGAAUUAAGUUUUGAUAUUUCUGCUACGGUGAGGAAUAGGUUGGCCCAGAUUGCGUUAAUUUGAAGUUAUAAGAAAUUUGAUAUUCGAGUGGUUGUGCACUGAAGAGAUCAUAGAUUUAAUCUCUUACUCCUUUCGAAAACAUAGAUUUAACUUUUAUUUAUAUAACUAAAAUUAAUUAUUAUGCUAGGCAUCACAUGGAAUUAAAACUAGUAUUUUAUAUUUGUAGACUCUCUCUNUGUACCGUGCCCCCUUCUUGAGGGCACGGUACGGCACGCCCCGUGCCGUACGGCACGGAGUGACACUUAAAACCUUGGUUAGUACUCUGUGAUUUUGUUUUUGUAUCAAGUUAGUACCCUGUGGUUUAUUUUUAUAUCAAGUUAGUACUCUAUAAUUUUUAAACCACAAGGUACUAAAGUGAGAAAGUGUGAAACCAUACGGUACUAAAGUGAGAAAGUGCGAAACCAUAUGGUACUAACUUGAUACACUUUAAACCACAGGGUACUAAAAUAAAAAGUGCAAAACCACAUAGUACUAACUUGAUAAUACAUUAAACCACAUGCUAUUAAAGUAAGAAAAAGUAAAAUCACAUGCGAGUAUUCGAAGUUUUUCUAAUAAAAUAUUAUUCAAAAACGUCAUUUAAAAAAUAUUUUAUUGUAAUGGCCCGCAGUUUUGGAACUGAACUAAAUAUUUAACAAUGCAAGAUGACUUUACCUCCUGAGUUGCAAUCAAGUAUAAUAAUAUUCGUACGGCCGGGUUUUACUUGUUUUUUUUCCUGUUAUAUUAUGCGUCCCUUGGGCACAAAACACGAGGACAUCAUGUAUCGUCGUCGUUUUCGUUUCUUCAUGAUGAUGAUGAUAAUAAUAAUAAUAAUAAUAAUAAUCAUAAUAAUAACAAAGCUUCGAAAACCAUGCACUAUGGAAAGAGUCAAAAAAUUUAAAGAAAAAGAACCUCUCAAAGCGAUAACCUUUUGCCCCUUCGCUCUCCCCAAACGUUGCACACUCUCUCUCUCUCUCUCUCUCUCUCUCUCUCUCUCUCUCUCUCCUUUUAGUUAGUGUCGUGUGGCUUUUGU